CCGGGAGUUGUAGUCCCGUCCCGCCCCGCUGCCUGCCUGUCCGUCCGUCCGUCCGUCCCGCCGCCGUGAAGCAUGGCGGAUGGGGGCGGGCUAGGAGGGUGCCCCAGGGUACCGCUCGCUAACGGCCGGAGCAUCCCGGUGCUGGGGCUCGGUACUUCCCAUCAAGGUGGCUAUUCCCAUGAUGCUGUGGUCCAUGCAUUACAAAAAUGUGGCAUUUGUCAUAUUGACACAGCAAAAAGAUACGGCUGUGAAUCUCUCCUCCAAAAAGCCAUCAAAGAGAGUGGUGUGAAGCGAGAGGACCUCUGGAUAACUACAAAACUGUGGCAUAGUGAUUAUGGCUAUGAAAACACAAGAAAAGCCUGCCUGGAGUCAUGUGAAAGACUUGGUGUCAGGUAUCUUGAUCUUUAUUUAAUACACUGGCCUGAUGCACAUGACCCGGGUAAAAGCAAUCGAGAGGUCCGAGCUGAAACCUGGAGAGCGAUGGAGGAGCUCUAUGAGAAAGGUUUGUGUAGAUCAAUUGGCGUAAGCAACUUUCUUAUCAGUCAUCUUGAGCAACUAAAGGAAGACUGUGGGAUUACUCCACAUGUUAAUCAGGUUGAAUACCACCCUUUCCAAAGACCUCAGGAGCUGGUGGAUUAUUGUAGGAGGAGAGACAUUGUUUUUGAAGGCUACUGCCCUUUGGCCAAAGGUGAAGCACUCACUCACCCUAGUAUCAUUCAGCUGGCAAAGAAAUACAGCAGAACUCCAGCACAGAUUUGCAUACGCUGGAGCAUACAGAAUGGGAUUGUCACUAUUCCAAAGUCCACAAAAGCAGAAAGGAUACAGGAAAACUGCAAGGUGUUUGAUUUUACAAUAGCAGAAGAUGAUGUUGACAUUCUGAACGGAAUGCAUGAUGGGAGACACGUUUCCUGGGACCCAAGCCUUAUUCUGUGAACGAAGCCUGUAGGUAUAUCAAAGUAGAAAUCUUUCCGGGGAAGCCCAUGUACAAAUAAACUGUCUUCAUGGCUCAGGAUUGAGCAGCAAGCUCCAAGAGCCAAAGAAGCAUCUUUGUUAUUAGUGAUCUUCUUUUACUGGAAAUUCUGGUUUUUGAGUUCAAUCUGAGGGAAGAAGAUACGGAAUUUUGGAAUGCUGUGAAUCUCAACAGAAAAUUAAUUCAUCUAACCUAUCCGCUGUGGAAAGGAUAAUUUAAAACCAGAUUGUGCUGCACCGCCGAAGUGAUGCAACUGAACAGUAAUUCAUUUUUAACUGAAAAUAAAUCUAAAUUGUUCUCCUGGGUACUCAGAGUACCUAAUAAAUAUUCAUCAAUGAUCAAAAAUCAGUAUCAGUGGCUUGUAUUUACCGUUAUGCUAAUGGCUUAAUAAAAUCACUUUGUUUACUCUU